rnacentral:rRNA from 1 species
UACGGGGGGGGCAAGCGUUGUUCGGAAUUACUGGGCGUAAAGGGCUCGUAGGCGGCCAACUAAGUCGGACGUGAAAUCCCCAGGCUCAACCUGGGAACUGCGUCCGAUACUGGAUGGCUUGAAUCCGGGAGAGGGAUGCAGAAUUCCAGGUGUAGCGGUGAAAUGCGUAGAUAUCGAGAGGAACACCUGCGGCGAAGGCGGGUUGCUGGGCUGAUACUGACGCUGAGGCGCGAAAGCCAGGGGAGCGAACGGG